rnacentral:rRNA from 1 species
GAUGAACGCUAGCGCUAGGCUUAACACAUGCGAGUCGAGGGGCAGCAUGGUCUUAGCUUGCUAAGACUGAUGGCGACCGGCGCACGGGUGCGUAACGCGUAUGCAACUUGCCUCACAGAGGGGGAUAACCCGUCGAAAGACGGACUAAUACCGCGUACACUCCAUCUUGGGCAUCCAAGGUAGAGGAAAUGAAAUUCGCUGUGAGAUAGGCAUGCGUCCCAUUAGCUAGUUGGUGAGGUUACGGCUGACCGAGGCGACGAUGGGUAGGGGAACUGAGAGGUUGAGGCCCCAGAGUGGUACUGGGCAACGGGCCAGAGUGAUACGGGAGGCAGUAGUGAGGGAGAUAGCACUAGGGGAGAGAGCCUGAAGCGGCGAAGUCGCGUGCAGGAUGACUGUGUUAUGGAUUGUAAACUUCUUUUAUACGGGAGUUACAGCAGUUACGGGUGACUCCGUGAAUGUACCGUAUAAAUAAGCAUCGGCUAACUCCGUG